CCUGGCGGCCAUAGCGCGGUGGACCCACCUGAACCCAUGCCGAACUCAGAAGUGAAACGCCGUAGCGCCGAUGGUAGUGUGGGGUCUCCCCAUGCGAGAGUAGGACACUG
rnacentral:rRNA from 2 species